rnacentral:rRNA from 1 species
GACGAACGCUGGCGGCGUGCUUAACACAUGCAAGUCGAACGAUGAUGCCAGCUUGCUGGUGGAUUAGUGGCGAACGGGUGAGUAACACGUGAGCAACCUGCCCCUGACUUCGGGAUAACCGCGGGAAACCGUGGCUAAUACCGGAUAUGACGCGCUAUCGCAUGGUGGUGUGUGGAAAGAUUUAUCGGUUGGGGAUGGGCUCGCGGCCUAUCAGCUUGUUGGUGGGGUGAUGGCCUACCAAGGCGACGACGGGUAGCCGGCCUGAGAGGGUGACCGGCCACACUGGGACUGAGACACGGCCCAGACUCCUACGGGAGGCAGCAGUGGAGAAUAUUGCACAAUGGGCGCAAGCCUGAUGCAGCGACGCCGCGUGAGGGAUGACGGCCUUCGGGUUGUAAACCUCUUUCAGUAGGGAAGAAGGCCUUCGGGUUGACGGUACCUGCAGAAGAAGCGCCGGCUAACUACGUG